UCAGUCGGCUGGACGGCCGCUCCGGCAAGGAUCGAAAGGUCGCCGGGGAGGAAAGUCCGGGCUCCAUCGACAUACGGUGCCGGAUAACACCCGGCGGGGGCGACCCCAGGGAAAGUGCCACAGAGAACGAACCGCCUUCACUCCGUGAAGGUAAGGGUGAAAAGGUGCGGUAAGAGCGCACCGCGUUUCUAGCAAUAGAGACGGCAUGGCAAACCCCACCGGGAGCAAAACCGAAUAGGGACGGCACAGUGGAAAGUUCGCUCUCGGGCGAUAACUCCGCGGGGCGAUGUCAGGCCCGCUGUCCGGGUAGGUUGCUUGAGGCGCAAGGUAACUUGCGUCCCAGAGGAAUGGCCGUCACGUCUGCGUGGUGCGAACCACUCAGGCCCUACAGAACCCGGCUUACAGGCCGGCUGAUACC
rfam:Afipia broomeae ATCC 49717 genomic scaffold supercont1.2, whole genome shotgun sequence.